rnacentral:lncRNA from 1 species
GCCCAUAGUCUAAAGACCGCAGCCCAGCAGCCCCAGGCCCAGACCGGGCCCAAACACCCUUGGCCCAAAAACCAAUUCAGCAGCUAGGGUUGGGAGAAAAGGGAUUUGCAGCUGCAACAGCAGCGCCUCUUUCUCCUUCCCGUCAUCUCGCCCGGUGCAGCAGCCGCCUCCCUCCAAUUCCCGUCAGCCCGUCGCCGCCACCAGAUCCGCGACGCCGACGACGUCGCGCGGCCUCGUCUGACGAAGCCCGCUGGUCGUCAGCACGCUGGAGUUCAAGCCCGCGUCGAGGGGAGGCGUUUUCUGAGGAGGAAGCAGCGGCGCUCUCGCCGCGAGCGCGCAGGUCCGCCGCGCGAGACCACCGCCGGUGCGACGCCUCUCGCGCCGUCUCGCCACCAACACGCCACCACGCCGUCGCCUCCCACCACCGGACUCCAAGCCCGCGUUAGGGACGCGUUGCAGAGGGAUAGCGGCGUCUCUGAAUCGAGGCGCGACGCAGACGGCAGCGAGUGGUCGGGCGCGGCGCACCGGCGAGUCCCGACCCACCUGCGCCGCCUCGUCAAUCACCCACGCCCUCUGCAUCGGCGGUGGUCGAUGGCAGCAGCAGUGAUCCAGCAAAGGUUCGAAUGUUGCCCAGCAACAAAAACCCAAUUCCAAAACUAUCGAUUUCAAUUCCAAUUCGAAAGUCGAAACAUAUUUCAAAAAUUUCGAUUUCAAACUGAAUUUUCAAUUUCAGAUUUCUAAAAUCACAUAUUCUUAACCCAUAAACAAUUAGAACACAAUAGCAAUUGUAAAUCGAGCCCCGGGCUCUGAUACCACUGUUGGUUAUCCUUGACAUCAUCUAAUAAUACGCAGCGGAAUAUACAUUCAAGGAUUAGAUCUAGAUUUACAAAUGCAUCACGUGUAGAGAUAAACACACAACGAAAAGUAUAACUUACUCGUUGUGUAGUAAGCGUGCGUCUCGAUUCUUGCCGUGAAUCCACUACUAAGGUAUCCACGUGUAUGUCGAUUCGAUGCAGGAACGAUUCCAAGUGCACGAUUCAAUCGUCAACAGCUAGGAAAUCUCCGAUUGAAACUAUAGUGCUUUCUUAGUGUUUUGCCAAGCAAAAGCUCUAAGCUA